rnacentral:rRNA from 1 species
AAACCAACUGGGAUUACCUUAGUAACGGCGAGUGAAGCGGUAAAAGCUCAAAUUUGAAAUCUGGUACUUUCAGUGCCCGAGUUGUAAUUUGUAGAAUUUGUCUUUGAUUAGGUCCUUGUCUAUGUUCCUUGGAACAGGACGUCAUAGAGGGUGAGAAUCCCGUUUGGCGAGGAUACCUUUUCUCUGUAAGACUUUUUCGAAGAGUCGAGUUGUUUGGGAAUGCAGCUCAAAGUGGGUGGUAAAUUCCAUCUAAAGCUAAAUAUUGGCGAGAGACCGAUAGCGAACAAGUACAGUGAUGGAAAGAUGAAAAGAACUUUGAAAAGAGAGUGAAAAAGUACGUGAAAUUGUUGAAAGGGAAGGGCAUUUGAUCAGACAUGGUGUUUUUUAAAUGUGCAAGUCUCUCGUGGACAUGUGCCUCUGGAAAUUAACACUGGGCCAACAUCAGUUCUGGCGGCAGGAUAAAUCAUUAAGGAUGUAGCUACCUCGGUAGUGUUAUAGCUUUUUGGAAUACUGCC